GGCCACUGCUAUUGGGAUCCGACUAAGCCAUGCGAGUCGAGAGGGUUCGGCCCUCGGCAGACUGCUCAGUAACACGUGGAUAAUCUACCCUUAGGUGGAGGAUACUCUCGGGAAACUGAGAAUAAUACUCCAUAGGUCUAGGAUGCUGGAAUGCACCUAGGUUGAGAGUUCCGGCGCCUAAGGACGAGUCUGCGGACUAUCAGGUAGUAGUCAGGGUAAAGACCUGACUAGCCUACGACGGAUACGGGUUGUGAGAGCAAUAGCCCGGAGACGAUAUCUGAGACACGAUAUCGGGCCCUACGGGGCGCAGCAGGCGCGAAAUCUUCACAAUGUGCGAAAGCACGAUGAGGGGAUCCCAAGUGUUGGUUCGUAAGAGUCAUCUGUUUCUUUGUCUAAAAAACAGAGAGAGUAAGAGCUGGGUAAGACGGGUGCCAGCCGCCGCGGUAAUACCUGCAGCUCAAGUGGUGGCCGCUAUUAUUGGGCCUAAAACGUCCGUAGCCGGUUUAGUAAAUGCCUGGGUAAAUUGUGUAGCUCAACUAUACGAAUACCGGGUAGACUGCUAAACUUGGAACCGGGAGAGGCUAGAGGUACUCCUAGGGUAGAGGUGAAAUUCUGUAAUCCUAGGGGGACCACCAGUGGCGAAGGCGUCUAGCUAGAACGGGUUUGACGGUGAGGGACGAAGCCCUGGGGCGCAAACCGGAUUAGAUACCCGGGUAGUCCAGGGUGUAAACGCUGCUCGCUUGAUGUUAGUCGGGCUCCGAGCCCAACUAGUGUCGGAGAGAAGUUGUUAAGCGAGCUGCCUGGGAAGUACGGUCGCAAGGCUGAAACUUAAAGGAAUUGACGGGGGAGCACAGCAACGGGUGGAGCGUGCGGUUU
rnacentral:rRNA from 1 species